CCUACGGUGGGCAGCAGUGAGGAAUAUUGGUCAAUGGCCGUAAGGCUGAACCAGCCAAGUCGCGUGAAGGAAGAAGGAUCUAUGGUUUGUAAACUUCUUUUAUAGGGGAAUAAAGGUAUCCUCGUGUGGAUAUUUGCAUGUACCCUAUGUAUAAGCAUCGGCUAAGUCCGUUCCAGCAGCCGAGGUAAUACGGUGGAUGCGAGCGUUAUCCGGAUUUAUUGGGUUUAAAGGGAGCGUAGGUUGUUUUUUAAGUCAGCUGUGAACGGUCGUGGCUCAACCAUAGAACUGCCGUGGAAACUGGAAGACUUGAGUGUGUGUGAGGUAGGCGGAAUUCGUGGUGUAGCGGUGAAAUGCAUAGAUAUCACGAAGAACUCCGAUUGCGAAGGCAGCUUACUAGGCCAUAACUGACACUGAAGCGCGAAAGCGUGGGGAUCAAACAGGAUUAGAUACCCGAGUAGUC
rnacentral:rRNA from 1 species